CUUUAUGAUGAAAAUAUGGAAGGGGUGAGAAGUAAAUUACUAAGGGAAGAAGGCACCCCAGUGGAACCAAGAAUAGUUAGGGCAUGUGUUGAUGGAAGCCCAGGAACUCUAGUCAGAAAGAAAAAGAAAGUUCAUAAGAAGAAGGAUUAUCAGGAAAAAAGUUGCAGCAAAAGGCUAUUACUGAAUACUUUUCGUUACCGGAGGGUGCGUGAAUCGGUGCGCGGCGGCUGCCAUGUGCGCAAAACGCUCAUGGUGCAGCAAGGUUUUUCCAAGCGGCGGCAGCAGGCUCUUCCCCGCCCCCCACCCGGGGAGCGGGAAGCCACUGCGAGAGCCCAAAUCCAAACCUGACCCGGAGGCA
rnacentral:lncRNA from 1 species